CUUCGGCCACUGUGCCAGAUAAAUUUAAAUGUCUCUGUUCAAGUGGAGAUAAUUCAUGCAAAUCAGAGCCCCUGGCUCUCAAGUGUUCGAUUCACAAAGAGAACUCCGCUUCAGGAGGUCACUCGUUCACAGCUGCUCCUCCCAUUAUAUUUUCUCCCCCUCAUAGCAGAACUGCUGCUUGUAUACACUGACUGAAAGGACUCAAUUUACUGCAACUGCUGCCUGGUUUUACUUACAACUUUCUUUAAAGAGGGACAUACCUUCCAGCUAUCUUGCCAAGAAAGGUGUACAACUUUUAGAACAUCCCAGCACCUGGUGUGGGAAACUAUGGGAUCUAAAUUAGGGUAUUAUUUUAAGUGAUUUUAAACUAUGGAAGAGUGAGAACCAUCCAUCAAGUAGCAUUUUGGACUAACACCCAUUUAUUCAUAUGUGUUCAGAUUCAACAAGAAUUUGUCCAAAAGGGGAUUUCCAUCUUAACGAAGCAAACCAUGGCUUGCCAAAUGCAUGGUUUUAUGGAAAUAUUAUGACAAGUUACUAGCUUUGGUGAAACAGAAGAAAGCCAUAUGGAUCUUUUUGUCUACCUGAUACAAAGUGGUGAUAUGUAGUGGUAUAAACGUCUGUACAGAUGUCAGAUACCAUCCAGUGGUUACCCUGACAUCUGUAACACUUUAUUACACCUGGACUUAGACCUAGAAACUUUUUUUAGUGUUAUAGUUUCUGGAGCAUUUGUAACAUCUAGUAUUAAAUAAUAA